UAUCUUCAGCGCAACAGCGCCGUCUACCUUCUCCUCUGUCUAGUUAGAGCUGGUCGAGUUGAUUAGAGCUUAUAAAACCAUCAUAUGGGGGAAAUGAAAGACUCUUUAAUGGAGGUGUAGGAUACGACAGAGGAGAAGGUUGCGGUAAAGGAGAACGGUCCGAAUACGGUCUCGAAGAUUCAGAUUUUUAAGCUGAAGGCUGGUUUCCUAUUCAGGCCAUCAUAUUCAAUUCCAUUUUGACGGGCUCCCUCUGGUUAGUGGAAAUUCAAAGGCAGACCUAGCUACUAAUCUUAUAUGCAAAGCUGGUGACAUUGAUCAAGUUCGAGAAGAUGGGUCUCUAAUGUCAUGGUGUUUGGAGAAGGCCACCCACAAGGUGGAGUUUAAGUAGACUAGUAGGAAUUAGAAACAGCUUUUAUGCAUAGACAAAGAACUGAUCAAUUAUGGCCUAGGCAUGUGCUUACUCAAUGUUAUGGUUAUCUAAAGCCAACUAUCUAUGGACAAUGUGUAUUUGGGUUCAAAUGCAAUGAGAAUUAUAUUUUGUUG